rnacentral:rRNA from 1 species
UACGGGGGGUGCGAGCGUUGUCCGGAAUCACUGGGCGUAAAGGGCGCGUAGGUGGCGUCGUAAGUCUGUGGUGAAAGCCCGGAGCUCAACUCCGGGUCUGCCGCGGAUACUGCGAGGCUUGAGUGCUGUAGAGGGGGGUAGAAUGCCGGGUGUAGCGGUGGAAUGCGUAGAGAUCCGGCAGAAGACCGGUGGCGAAGGCGGCCCCCUGGGCAGUAGCUGACACUGAGGCGCGACAGCGUGGGGAGCAAACAGG